AGAGUUUGAUCCUGGCUCAGAGCGAACGCUGGCGGCAGGCUUAACACAUGCAAGUCGAGCGGGCAUAGCAAUAUGUCAGCGGCAGACGGGUGAGUAACGCGUGGGAACAUACCUUUUGGUUCGGAACAACACAGGGAAACUUGUGCUAAUACCGGAUAAGCCCUUACGGGGAAAGAUUUAUCGCCGAAAGAUUGGCCCGCGUCUGAUUAGCUAGUUGGUGAGGUAACGGCUCACCAAGGCGACGAUCAGUAGCUGGUCUGAGAGGAUGAUCAGCCACAUUGGGACUGAGACACGGCCCAAACUCCUACGGGAGGCAGCAGUGGGGAAUAUUGGACAAUGGGCGCAAGCCUGAUCCAGCCAUGCCGCGUGAGUGAUGAAGGCCCUAGGGUUGUAAAGCUCUUUUGUGCGGGAAGAUAAUGACGGUACCGCAAGAAUAAGCCCCGGCUAACUUCGUGCCAGCAGCCGCGGUAAUACGAAGGGGGCUAGCGUUGCUCGGAAUCACUGGGCGUAAAGGGUGCGUAGGCGGGUCUUUAAGUCAGGGGUGAAAUCCUGGAGCUCAACUCCAGAACUGCCUUUGAUACUGAGGAUCUUGAGUUCGGGAGAGGUGAGUGGAACUGCGAGUGUAGAGGUGAAAUUCGUAGAUAUUCGCAAGAACACCAGUGGCGAAGGCGGCUCACUGGCCCGAUACUGACGCUGAGGCACGAAAGCGUGGGGAGCAAACAGGAUUAGAUGCCCUGGUAGUCCACGCCGUAAACGAUGAAUGCCAGCCGUUAGUGGGUUUACUCACUAGUGGCGCAGCUAACGCUUUAAGCAUUCCGCCUGGGGAGUACGGUCGCAAGAUUAAAACUCAAAGGAAUUGACGGGGGCCCGCACAAGCGGUGGAGCAUGUGGUUUAAUUCGACGCAACGCGCAGAACCUUACCAGCCCUUGACAUCCCGGUCGCGGAUUCCAGAGACGGAGUCCUUCAGUUCGGCUGGACCGGAGACAGGUGCUGCAUGGCUGUCGUCAGCUCGUGUCGUGAGAUGUUGGGUUAAGUCCCGCAACGAGCGCAACCCCCGUCCUUAGUUGCUACCAUUUAGUUGAGCACUCUAAGGAGACUGCCGGUGAUAAGCCGCGAGGAAGGUGGGGAUGACGUCAAGUCCUCAUGGCCCUUACGGGCUGGGCUACACACGUGCUACAAUGGCGGUGACAAUGGGACGCUAAGGGGCAACCCUUCGCAAAUCUCAAAAAGCCGUCUCAGUUCGGAUUGGGCUCUGCAACUCGAGCCCAUGAAGUUGGAAUCGCUAGUAAUCGUGGAUCAGCAUGCCACGGUGAAUACGUUCCCGGGCCUUGUACACACCGCCCGUCACACCAUGGGAGUUGGUUUUACCUGAAGACGGUGCGCUAACCCGCAAGGGAGGCAGCCGGCCACGGUAGGGUCAGCGACUGGGGUGAAGUCGUAACAAGGUA
rnacentral:rRNA from 1 species